UACAGUGUGAGCUCAUUGGUAAAGGCAGUGGAUUACUGAUCAGAAGAUUCUGAGUUCAAAUCCCAGCAAUGCCA